rnacentral:rRNA from 3 species
GGUAAAUCCGGUUCACUUUAACACUGAGGCGUGACGACGAGGCACUACGGUGCUGAAGCAACAAAUGCCCUGCUUCCAGGAAAAGCCUCUAAGCAUCAGGUAACAUCAAAUCGUACCCCAAACCGACACAGGUGGUCAGGUAGAGAAUACCAAGGCGCUUGAGAGAACUCGGGUGAAGGAACUAGGCAAAAUGGUGCCGUAACUUCGGGAGAAGGCACGCUGACACGUAGGUGAAGUGAUUUACUCAUGGAGCUGAAGUCAGUCGAAGAUACCAGCUGGCUGCAACUGUUUAUUAAAAACACAGCACUGUGCAAACACGAAAGUGGACGUAUACGGUGUGACGCCUGCCCGGUGCCGGAAGGUUAAUUGAUGGGGUCAGCGCAAGCGAAGCUCCUGAUCGAAGCCCCGGUAAACGGCGGCCGUAACUAUAACGGUCCUAAGGUAGCGAAAUUCCUUGUCGGGUAAGUUCCGACCUGCACGAAUGGCGUAAUGAUGGCCAGGCUGUCUCCACCCGAGACUCAGUGAAAUUGAACUCGCUGUGAAGAUGCAGUGUACCCGCGGCAAGACGGAAAGACCCCGUGAACCUUUACUAUAGCUUGACACUGAACAUUGAGCCUUGAUGUGUAGGAUAGGUGGGAGGCUUUGAAGUGUGGACGCCAGUCUGCAUGGAGCCGACCUUGAAAUACCACCCUUUAAUGUUUGAUGUUCUAACGUGGACCCGUUACCCGGGUUGCGGACAGUGUCUGGUGGGUAGUUUGACUGGGGCGGUCUCCUCCUAAAGAGUAACGGAGGAGCACGAAGGUUGGCUAAUCCUGGUCGGACAUCAGGAGGUUAGUGCAAUGGCAUAAGCCAGCUUGACUGCGAGCGUGACGGCGCGAGCAGGUGCGAAAGCAGGUCAUAGUGAUCCGGUGGUUCUGAAUGGAAGGGCCAUCGCUCAACGGAUAAAAGGUACUCCGGGGAUAACAGGCUGAUACCGCCCAAGAGUUCAUAUCGACGGCGGUGUUUGGCACCUCGAUGUCGGCUCAUCACAUCCUGGGGCUGAAGUAGGUCCCAAGGGUAUGGCUGUUCGCCAUUUAAAGUGGUACGCGAGCUGGGUUUAGAACGUCGUGAGACAGUUCGGUCCCUAUCUGCCGUGGGCGCUGGAGAACUGAGGGGGGCUGCUCCUAGUACGAGAGGACCGGAGUGGACGCAUCACUGGUGUUCGGGUUGUCAUGCCAAUGGCACUGCCCGGUAGCUAAAUGCGGAAGAGAUAAGUGCUGAAAGCAUCUAAGCACGAAACUUGCCCCGA